rnacentral:rRNA from 1 species
AGCGAACGCUGGCGGCAAGCUUAACACAUGCAAGUCGAACGCCCCGCAAGGGGAGUGGCGGACGGGUGUAUAACCCGUGGGAAUAUAACUUUCAGUGCAGGAUAACCCAGGUAAACUUGAGCUAAUACUGCAUAUUGUCACCGGACCAAAGAUUCAUCGCGGAAAGAUUAGCCAGCGGGUGAUUAGCUAGUUGGUAGGGUAAUGGCCUACCAAGGCGACGAUCAGUAGCUGGUCUGAGAGGAGGAGCAGCCACAAGGGGACUGAGCCACGGCCCAGACACCUACAGGGGGCAGUGGUGGGAAAUAUUGGACAAGGGUGGAAACCCUGAGCCAGCUAUGCCGCGUGAGGGAUGAAGGCCUUCGGGUGGUAAAGCUCUUUAGUCGGGGACGAUAAUGACGGUACCCGAAGAAUAAGCUCCGGCAAACUUCGUGCCAGCAGCCGCCGUAA